CUCUUGAAGAGUCUGGCCCCUCUGUUGCUGAGUGUUGAGAGUUCCUCUACCAUGAUAUCUCUGGGCGUGCUGACCUUUUUUCCAAGGUUUAAGGACAUGUGAAGACAGAGAGAACAAGUUACAGGCUGCUUGCAGAUGAUCCUCAGGGAACAGAUCCUCUAUCGAAGCUGUUACUGGAGUCAUGCAGAAGAGAUCCCUCAAGGAGCAGGUUGCCACAAUUAAAUCAGCGGUUCCUAAGGAUAAUGACUUGCCACUAGAUGAGAAGAAACUGAGAUUAUCAUAGUUGGCAUGGGAAAAGAAUUGGAUCUAUGUCCUGCUUGAAAGAAGAAUUUAUCAAAUUGUCUCUGAAUAUGCAUUAGAAGAGCAGCAGAGUUCAGCCCUUUCUGGAGAUGCCUUUCCAGCUCGCUGCAGGAACAACAGCCCUGGUGUAAUUCCAGGAAGGAAGCAGAACCCACGGAGUCAGCACGGCAGGAUAACCGCAGCAUCUGGAAUUUCUCACUGUCAGGAGUGCCCUUUGCCGAUUAAAAUGUCAAGUGCUGAGCGAUUCCUCAAAUCCACAGCAAUGUUAAUCUUAGAGGAAAGUUCCUUUUGUGAGGAACUCGGCCAGGAUGUUUGCUGUUAUCAGAGCACUCCAGAGGAUCCAGGACCUCCUGGCACCAGUCCACAAGCAGCAGGGACUGGGGGCUGUGCAGAGGCUCUUCAGGAGGGUCUGUAAAGACUUGGGCUGAAACUGUGAGCGAGCAGGGACUGGGUGCUGUGAUGGCCUGGAGAGAGAUCACAUCCCAGAGGCACAGGUGGUCCUUACACUUGUUUGAGGUGCAAAUAUGCAAAUUAGUGAAUAACAAUGCUGUCUUCAGCAAGAAAGCAAAAGUCUUCACAGCAGCUUGGGGACACAUGGAUAUUG